rnacentral:ncRNA from 1 species
GGGAUACACUUAGAACCCCAGGAUCGGCGUGUUAAUAGCUGCGCUUUUGGCCAGGCGCAGUGGUUAGUGAAUC